GGCGUAAAGGGAGCGUAGGUGGCUCGAUAAAUCAGAUGUGAAAUCCCCGGGCUCAACCUGGGAACUGCAUCUGAUACUGUUGAGCUAGAGUAUGUGAGAGGAAGGUAGAAUUCCAGGUGUAGCGGUGAAAUGCGUAGAGAUCUGGAGGAAUACCGAUGGCGAAGGCAGCCUUCUGGCAUAAUACUGACACUGAGGCUCGAAAGCGUGGGUAGCAAACAGGAUUAGAUACCCUGGUAGUCCACGCCGUAAACGAUGUCUACUAGUCGUUGGGUCCCUUGAGGACUUAGUGACGCAGCUAACGCAAUAAGUAGACCGCCUGGGGAGUACGGCCGCAAGGUUAAAACUCAAAUGAAUUGACGGGGGCCCGCACAAGCGGUGGAGCAUGUGGUUUAAUUCGAUGCAACGCGAAGAACCUUACCUGGUCUUGACAUAUCUAGAAUCCUGCAGAGAUGCGGGAGUGCCUUCGGGAAUUAGAAUACAGGUGCUGCAUGGCUGUCGUCAGCUCGUGUCGUGAGAUGUUGGGUUAAGUCCCGCAACGAGCGCAACCCUUGUCCUUAGUUACCAGCGGGUUAAGCCGGGAACUCUAAGGAUACUGCCAGUGACAAACUGGAGGAAGGCGGGGACGACGUCAAGUCAUCAUGGCCCUUACGACCAGGGCUACACACGUGCUACAAUGGUAGGUACAGAGGGCAGCUACACAGCGAUGUGAUGCGAAUCUCAAAAAGCCUAUCGUAGUCCAGAUUGGAGUCUGCAACUCGACUCCAUGAAGUAGGAA
rnacentral:rRNA from 1 species